UACAGAGGGGGCAAGCGUUAUUCGGAAUCACUGGGCGUAAAGCGCACGUAGGCGGAUUGCUAAGUCAGGGGUGAAAUCCUGGAGCUCAACUCCAGAACUGCCUUUGAUACUGGUGAUCUUGAGUCCGGGAGAGGUGAGUGGAACUGCGAGUGUAGAGGUGAAAUUCGUAGAUAUUCGCAAGAACACCAGUGGCGAAGGCGGCUCACUGGCCCGGUACUGACGCUGAGGUGCGAAAGCGUGGGGAGCAAACAGGG
rnacentral:rRNA from 1 species